GGAAUAUUGUUGCAAUUUGCGUGUAUGAGCUCACAAUUCAUCACCAAAAUAAUCUGAUAGCUCCCAAUGAAAAAUAAAAAUAAUUUAAUAGAAAAUUAAGGUCCUAAAAUAUAUAGUUCUUAAUGUAUUUUUCUCAGAAAUUGGAAGGGAAAUAUCAUUUGGAAAUUCCUGGCUGGUAGAUGUUGAAUCUUCAGACAGGAAACGGAAUUUCUCAAGUGCUUAGAUUGUUUCAUAUUAUGUUUUAGAACUUGAGCUUGGUCACUUUGCACUGAUCAUGUCCACAUCUGCAUAGAGCCAACACUCCGAGCAGCAACAGUUACUAAUUAAACUACUUCCGUAGGCUCAUCUGUUGGGAUUCUGGAAGCACAUACCAUAACCUUGGCCUUCUUGGCCUGAGAGAAAUACAGAAAAUUAGAACAAAAAUCCAUUCAUGUGGUUAACUUAUAGAUGGCCUUAAAAGGAAAGACAUAUAUUUAUGUACUUCCUGCUCCCAAUUAGCGUGCAUAGUAAUGGCUAAAAGCAAAACAGCUUGUAUAGAACUACCACAUAUGAUUCCCAUCCAAAGUCCCUUUCCUCCUAAGUGGAAGAAAAAAGUCAGAACUAUAGCAGAAGGUAGGCCUACAACGUAGUAAGCUCCUAAGUUUACACAUGCACCAAUCUUUUGCCACCCACAACCUCUAGCAGUACCUACGUUUUGGCAAAGACGUCAUGUUUUAAAAGAUAUAUUUUUGAAGUAUUCAUCCAGACAUGAAAUGUCCAAAUAGUUUUUCCAGUGUUGAACCUGAGAGCACAGUCUGUAUCCCAUCCAUGAAGUUGGAUAAUGCAAGCAAUGGCGCUACAGAUGCCAAAUAUCUUACAACUUCCUUUUCAUUAGUGUACAAGAAACCCCAAAAAUCCCUAACUGCAACUAGAAGUAAGCUUAGUGAUAAAUUCUCUAUAAGUGCCAAGAAAAUUACAAUCUGUACUGCCAAAUGUGCAGCAUGAGGUCUCCCAGAGCCUAACUCAUUUGAAACUCUUGUGCUUUAAGCAAGAAAAAGAAAGAAACAGGAAAAGGAAAUCAUAAUAUAUCAACAAAUUGCUGCUAAUCAGGCAAAGACUAACAUGUCCUAGUGUACUUACCUCACAGCACUACCGAGGCCAAAGGGGAUUCUGAAUACCACAGAACUCGUAUUCAAGCUGCAGAAUUGUGACUAUGUUAGAGAAUUGGAAAUGGAAUUCAAUAUGUUCUUAUAAUAUAUGGCAAAAGAAACCCCUUCAAAAUAUUUUAAUUUUUAGACUUUCUUUUAUUGUCAACGAUGCAUAAGUGAAUAGAAAAUUACGUGCCAAUAAAGUGCUCAAACCUGAUGCUCAUCAUUGACAAUUCUAGUUUCGGAUUUGGAAGUAGACCUGACAUAAUAACUAAAAACUCAUACGACCAGAGUUCCAAGCUGAUACAUAUAACAUAAAUAGACAAAAAUAUAUUGUGAAGAAUAUAAUGAGAGAGACAAAUCAAAAUGAAAGUUCUAGAAUUUUAAGAAAAAUUGAACUCACCAAACCAUUAGAGCUGAAGGUAUUCCCAAUUUAAGAAAACUAAGCAGAUUUUUGGUUCCUGCCCUGGAGAAACCUGUCCAAGUAUUUUGGCAUGUUGGAGAAAAUUUGACAUAGAUAGCUAAAAUGAGCACAUUGGUCCAGUAAGAGAUUGCAAUAGACAGGGCAGCCCCUUCAUUGCCAAAGCCGAAUCUAAAGAUGAAUGUCCAGCAAAUGAGAAGAUGGACCAAACUUGUGAUGCCAGUACUUAACACCAAUGGCCAAACAAUGUUCUGGGUUUGUAGGAAUCUAAGCUGGCACUGAAGAAGACCAUAUGGAACAAUGGCAGGGAUCAACCACCGUGCAUAGAUUCCUGAGUGGAUUGAAAUUUGUGGGUCUUGCUUGAGGCUUAUGAAAAUCUGGCCUGUGAAGUGCCAAAUCAAUGAUAUAGGGAUGCUUGUAAGUACAAGAACUAGCAUAGCUCUUUGCAUGUACACACCCAGCAUAUGGUACUGUUGUGCUCCGUAGGCUUGCCCACAGAAUGUCUCUAGUGCACUUCCCAUUCCCAGCAUGAAACCAAAACCAGUAACUCCCGCAAAUGAAGUAGCCAUUGAAGCACUUGAAAGAGACAGCUCUCCGAGACGGCCUACAAACAUGACCGAGAUCAUCUGUAGACUGUAUUGCAAGAAACUGACAAAAAUUAGAGGUCCUGCCAAGCUCAUUUGUUUCUUGAGUUCAGUGAUUAUCUCAGUUUUGUCAUAGCUUUUUUUGGCAGGAUGAGUAGCAGUUUCAGAGUUAGAAAUCAAUGGGGAUUCAGGAGAAUUGUUGAAGGCUACUUGAUCCAUCCAGUUGCUAUGAUCUCUCUUGCUUGAAAUCUCAGGAUGUGCACGUAAUCGAGGAAGAAGGCUAUUAAAUU
rnacentral:misc_RNA from 1 species